CUCUUGUUUAGAUAUGUGUGUGUGUGUUUUCCCAAGUUUAAACUUUCAGAGUUAUAUAACCGUUCCCCUUGGCUUAUAAUCAAGCUUCCAGAUUAGCUUGGAGGUGCCAUGAAGGAGCGGGGAGCUGGCAUGAGGGUGGUGCACGUGACCCUGCUGGGCUUCCUGGGCAGGCUGCUCUCUAAAGGAAAGGUGUUCUGUGGGCCAGGGAGGAGGGUUGUGUGCAGGUCUGCUUCCCACAGCUGCUGCUGGCUCAAUAUACAUUUUGCAAAAGAAAGGAUGCAAGGAUUCGGAGAAGGAGGCACCUUCGAGAAGCUGUAGACCCACCAAAAUGUUCCCCAGCUUGCUCACAUGUGCUAACCUCGGCCUCCACCCUGACCACACCCACCCCUCCUGUACCUUCUCAUCCAACAAGCCUGCACCUGUGAUCUGAACACACUCAGCGCUCACCCAGCACACACAUCUCCGCGUGCAAAACCCAACCAAACUGAUGGUGGACGCUGUGGGAAAGAGGCAGGAAUGGAGAAUGUGGUUAGCGAGGUAGGUUCAAAGGCGUGGGCUUCUUCAUUACUACCAGCCAAUAAUAACACAUAAGAAUACUGUGCUCUGAACUUGAAGCGCGGCCAGAGGAAGAUCAAGGCUUAUGGGCAAGGGAGAAAUACUCCCUAGACUGUUUCCCGAUUUGCUUUGCAAAUGUGCUUCAGAUUCCUGAGCAUGCACAUAGUCUUUAAAAUAAGCUUUAGAGUCGCCUAGUAGCUCAGUGGUUGAGCCUCUACCCACUGAUCCUGGGGUCCUGGGAUCAAGGCCCACAUCAGGCUCCUGGCAAGGAGCCUGCCUCUCGCUCUGCCUAUAUCUCUGCCUCUCUCUGCGUGUCUCUCAUGAAAAAAUAAUAAAAUAAAAUAAUGCGUUAGAACCCAGCGGCCAUCUCCUGCCUUAACCCCCAUCUCUGGGCACUGCUGCUUCAGAAAACCCAAUGCUUUGGAACUUGGUGAUUGAAUGUGAUGUAUGCAGUCAGGGGCUCAGGUCUUUUUAGGUUCUGAGUGGGACAGAUGUUUCCUUCGUUCUUAUAAUCCCAGAGGCCAGAGAAUCAGAGUGUU
rnacentral:lncRNA from 1 species